rnacentral:rRNA from 1 species
GUAGGGAAUAUUGGACAAUGGAGGCAACUCUGAUCCAGCCAUCCCGCGUGAAGGAUUAAGGCCCUAUGGGUUGUAAACUUCUUUUCUCUGGGAAUAAAAACCGGGAUUUAUCCUGGCUUGAAGGUACCAGAGGAAUAAGCACCGGCUAACUCCGUGCCAGCAGCCGCGGUAAUACGGAGGGUGCAAGCGUUAUCCGGAUUCACUGGGUUUAAAGGGUGCGUAGGUGGUUUUGUAAGUCAGUGGUGAAAGCCCGGAGCUCAACUCCGGAACUGCCAUUGAUACUGCUUAACUUGAAUCAAGUAGAGGUGGAUGGAAUAAUACAUGUAGCGGUGAAAUGCUUAGAUAUGUAUUAGAACACCGAUUGCGAAGGCAGUUCACUAUGCUUGUAUUGACACUGAGGCACGAAAGCGUGGGGAUCAAACAGGAUUAGAUACCCUAGUAGUCC